GAAGGCAGAACGUGGAGAGGAUGAUUCAGAAAAAAACAGAUACAGGUUUGUCCAGCAACUGACAGCAUCACUCCUGGGAAGCCCACCUACCGUCGCGCCCACCCUGAUCAGCCCUGGGAAGCAGCUCCGGUCACUUCGAGGUUCCUGGACCCGGGCGCAGGGAGGCAGGUGGCCAAACGCCGCACACCCGCUUGAUGCCUGUAUUUAGAUAUCUAAAAUGAACUGAAGAACAGGGACUGAGGAGCUUGCAGUCUGCUGGGAAGGGGACGAGCCUUGGAGGAGAGAUGUCAUGGAUUCACAGACUGUGUGAUGGUAGAAUCUGUCCGUCCUUGAGUGAUUUGAACUUGCUGCAACUUCUUCAACAUUUUGCUGAGAUUUGAUAGAACAUUUUCUGCUUUUCUGAGAUUUUCAAUGUACUGCUCAUUAUAGCACAUUUAGAGAACACUCCCCAAAAAAGAAGAAAGAAGAAAAAAAUAUUGGAGAGAAA